CGACAGAUAGCUCAACUGGUAGAGCGUACGACUGAUAAUCGUAAGGUCGGUGGUUCAAAUCCACCUCUGUCAA
rnacentral:tRNA from 1 species